AAGGAGUCUAACAUGCCUGCGAGUGUUUGGGUGGAAAACCCAUGCGCACAAUGAAAGUGAAAGUUGAGAUCCCUGUAGAGGGGAGCAUUGACGCCCGGACCAGAGCUUUUGUGACGGAUCCGCGGUAGAGCAUGUAUGUUGGGACCCGAAAGAUGGUGAACUAUGCCUGAAUAGGGUGAAGCCAGAGGAAACUCUGGUGGAGGCUCGUAGCGAUUCUGACGUGCAAAUCGAUCGUCAAAUUUGGGUAUAGGGGCGAAAGACUAAUCGAACCAUCUAGUAGCUGGUUCCUGC
rnacentral:misc_RNA from 1 species